CGCGGCCUAUCAGCUUGUUGGUGAGGUAACGGCUCACCAAGGCAUUGACGGGUAGCUAGUCUGAGAGGACGAAUAGCCACACUGGGACUGAGACACGGCCCAGACUCCUACGGGAGGCAGCAGCAGGGAAUCUUGCACAAUGGACGAAAGUCUGAUGCAGCGACGCCGCGUGGGGGAUGAAGGCCCUAGGGUCGUAAACCCCUUUCAGUGGGGACGAAACUGACGGUACCCACAGAAGAAGGUCCGGCCAACUACGUGCCAGCAGCCGCGGUAAGACGUAGGGACCGAGCGUUGUCCGGAAUUAUUGGGCGUAAAGAGCUCGCAGGCGGUUGCGUAAGUCGGAUGUGAAAGCUCGGGGCUCAACCCCGAGACGCCAUCCGAUACUGCGCUGACUUGAAUCCAGUAGGGGAGUGUGGAAUUCCUGGUGUAGCGGUGAAAUGCGCAGAUAUCAGGAGGAACACCUAUGGCGAAGGCAGCACUCUGGGCUGGUAUUGACGCUGAGGAGCGAAAGCAUGGGUAGCAAACAGGAUUAGAUACCCUGGUAGUCCAUGCCGUAAACGGUGGGCACUAGGUGUGGGGACUUUCAACGGUUUCCGUGCCGAAGCUAACGCAUUAAGUGCCCCGCCUGGGGAGUACGG
rnacentral:rRNA from 1 species